rnacentral:rRNA from 1 species
GACGUAGGGCGCGAGCGUGUCCGGAAUUAUUGGGCGUAAAGAGCUCGUAGGCGGCUUGUCACGUCGGUUGUGAAAGCCCGGGGCUUAACCCCGGGUCUGCAGUCGAUACGGGCAGGCUAGAGUUCGGUAGGGGAGACUGGAAUUCCUGGUGUAGCGGUGAAAUGCGCAGAUAUCAGGAGGAACACCGGUGGCGAAGGCGGGUCUCUGGGCCAACACUGACGCUGAGACGCGAAAGCUAGGGGAGCAAACGGG